ACCUUGUUGUAGUUGCCUCUCAUCCUUUCCAUUAUCAGUCUAAUCUUUUUCACAAAAUUUUCUCUAUAUCUAUACAUUUUUAUGCACAUAUGUUUGUAUAUAUGUGUGUGCGUCUGUGAACUGAUUCUUGAUUUGAUCUAUUUGAGCGACCUAUUUGUUUAUACCACCUAGAGAAGAAAAUGUUUAUUCCCACCAAAACCCCCCCUUACUCACAUGGGAAACCUUGAAAAAACAAAAACAAAAACCAAUUCCCCCUAAUUUUUCUUUAGUCAUUUCGCAAAGAGAAGCCCUAGAACAUGAUACGCCGACCGCCACAGUCCUUGAUUCCACUGACCACAACCUUCGUUCGCCUUGAUUUGCAUACUUGUCGUAUUUCUACCCUCAUUCAAGACUUUCAAGCGCUGCCUCAUUCUAGUUCUCUCUCGAGUACUCUUAUUUUCUUUUAUCUCUUUCAAAAUACUGCGGUUUCAGUUUGGUCGGAGAAUCGAAGAGAUCUGGGGCAUAUUUCAGAAUGCUAUCUUUCUCUCGGUGGGAUUUCGCGAUCGCCUCUCUAGCACCCCUAUCCAUACUACAACAACGUUCACAGCCGCCACCAGGAUGUGAUUGAUAGAGAUUUGUGUGAGCAGUUCCUAGCAUUGCCGCUGGAUCUGCAAUGAAAAAUUGCAAAUGAAUUGGACAUAACUCCAACAGAGAUUUUGAAGAAACUUGAAGAAGUUCGAAAUAAGACCAUUUGAGAAUUAUUAGUCCUAAGGUAAAUUCAUGCCUGUGAUAAAGAAGGCAAUGGUAGAGCUUGAAGGAUUGAUUAUCACCAAUUCAUUAGGAGUAGAAGAAUCAGAAUUUCUAUGGUUCCAGUUUACAACAAAGUUACUUUCUUGGAUUUUGUACCGUGGAUUUUGCAGCUACUUCCUUGGAUUUUGUAUAGUGAAGUGGUUUUUUGACAAGUGCAGACUGAAACUCAAGUGCUAGAAGGUUUAUCAAUAUUUCAACAGAAGUGUUAAGAAAUUGAUGAUUUUCUUGACAAAUGGAUGUACUUUCUGUUUUGGAACAUUGAUAAAUGAUGAAUUGUAAAAAUGUUUUAACUCUUUUGAUAUAUUUAAUGGGAUAUGUAUGUUUUUUGAAUUGAA